CUGCCUCUCAGUACCAUAGUUUCUCCGUACCAUGCCCUUCGUCAGUCUUCAUGAUCACUGUGGUCCUGCCCUCAUCCUAAUUUUUCCCACUCGGGUGUACCACACGCCCAUAAACCGCGAGUUUCGUGGCCACUUUAAAUUGAACCCCCCUUAUGUCGGUGCUUUGAGUCAUUAACCAGGGGUAUCCAAUCACCCAACGCAAAAACAAGUUAGUUGGACCAAUAGAGAGCCCACACGUCAUGACAUUGAUGGACUCGACCUCAUCUAAUCACCAGCUCUUAAUUGG
rnacentral:misc_RNA from 1 species